GGGGAAUCUUGCGCAAUGGGCGAAAGCCUGACGCAGCAACGCCGCGUGGGGGACGAAGGCUCUCGGGUUGUAAACCCCUUUCAGCAGGAACGAAAUUGACGAUACCUGCAGAAGAAGCCCCGGCCAACUACGUGCCAGCAGCCGCGGUAAUACGUAGGGGGCGAGCGUUGUCCGGAUUUAUUGGGCGUAAAGGGCUCGUAGGCGGUUUGGUAAGUCGGGUGUGAAAACCCCAGGCUCAACCUGGGGACGCCACCUGAUACUGCUAUGACUUGAGUCUGGUAGGGGACUACGGAAUUCCUGGUGUAGCGGUGAAAUGCGCAGAUAUCAGGAGGAACACCGGUGGCGAAGGCGGUGGUCUGGGCCAGUACUGACGCUAAGGAGCGAAAGCGUGGGUAGCAAAC
rnacentral:rRNA from 1 species